GCGGCGAACGGGUGAGUAACACGUGAGCAACCUGCCCUAGGCUUUGGGAUAACCCUCGGAAACGGGGGCUAAUACCGAAUAUUACCUCUUGUCGCAUGGUGGGGGGUGGAAAGUUUUUCGGCCUGGGAUGGGCUCGCGGCCUAUCAGCUUGUUGGUGGGGUGAUGGCCUACCAAGGCGACGACGGGUAGCCGGCCUGAGAGGGCGACCGGCCACACUGGGACUGAGACACGGCCCAGACUCCUACGGGAGGCAGCAGUGGGGAAUAUUGCACAAUGGGCGGAAGCCUGAUGCAGCGACGCCGCGUGAGGGAUGACGGCCUUCGGGUUGUAAACCUCUUUCAGCAGGGACGAAGCGUAAGUGACGGUACCUGCAGAAGAAGCACCGGCCAACUACGUGCCAGCAGCCGCGGUAAGACGUAGGGUGCGAGCGUUGUCCGGAUUUAUUGGGCGUAAAGAGCUCGUAGGCGGCUUGUCGCGUCGACCGUGAAAACUUGGGGCUCAACCCCAAGCCUGCGGUCGAUACGGGCAGGCUAGAGUUCGGUAGGGGAGACUGGAAUUCCUGGUGUAGCGGUGAAAUGCGCAGAUAUCAGGAGGAACACCGGUGGCGAAGGCGGGUCUCUGGGCCGAUACUGACGCUGAGGAGCGAAAGCGUGGGGAGCGAACAGGAUUAGAUACCCUGGUAGUCCACGCUGUAAACGUUGGGCGCUAGGUGUGGGGGGCCUCUCCGGUUCUCUGUGCCGCAGCUAACGCA
rnacentral:rRNA from 1 species